rnacentral:rRNA from 1 species
GGGUCAGUAGGUUGGUCGUGCCACCGGUACGUACUGGUCUCACUGAUUCCUCCUUCCUGAAGAACCGUAAUGCCAUUAAUUUGGUGUUGCGGGGAAACAGGACUGUUACGUUGAAAAAAUUAGAGUGUUUAAAGCAAGCUAACGCUUGAAUACAUUAGCAUGGAAUAAUGAAAUAGGACGAUCGAUCCUAUUUUGUUGGUUUCUAGGAUUGACGUA